GUUGGUUAUGGCGACAUGUACCCCGUGACCGCAUGGGGGUAUGUGAUUGGCUCACUAACUGCCCUGUCUGGUCUUCUUAUGAUUGGAUUCUCGGUACCUAUUCUUGUCAACAAC
rnacentral:sRNA from 1 species